GGCUUUAUAGUCAAUAAUGAUAUUAGACUGCAAUUCUAAAGGAGCAAAUUAAUUUGCUAAGGCUU
rnacentral:tRNA from 1 species